rnacentral:lncRNA from 1 species
AUAUAUAUGUGUGUGUACAUAUAUACAUGUAUAAACUGUAUAGUGUACAUGUUAAUGAUUUAUCAGUAUGCCCCGAAUUCCUAGUGCAGUUCUCAUUCUCCGCAUGCCCUCAGCUGUGGUCAGGUGACUUCCUGUCCCCUGGCAGCUCUGCUGAGUCCCUGUGUUUGAGCCUCCAGGGAGAAGGGUUUGGGCUGCAUUCUUCUUAUCCCCAUGCACAGAAACGCUCAGGGUCCCCACGUGCCUGUUGUCCUCCCCUCUAGUCCUUUGUUCCCUUUCUGAGCAUGUGGCCCCUCCCCCGGCUGUGAGGGGCAGCCGCCUUCCUAGGAAAGUGUAAUGCAGGAUCAAGACCACCACUGCAUGUGUACUGAAAACUGCAGACUUCUGCCCGCUUGGGACAGAACAUUGCAUGUGAGGUGGGAUUAUCAAGUUUCAAAGACCUGUGUCAACCAUACAGCAAAGGCAGACCCCAUAACGACGUCCCACAAAAUGGAAAUAAAACGCAAAAUCUCUUUAGCAUUGUGUAAAUAAAUCUGGAUGUGUUUAACUUUGUACUGGUAAUUUUCUGUAUAUUUGCAAUAUUUGGGUUAGAAAUAAACAGCCUGGACUUUGGUACCUAACCU